AUGUCAUGAUGUGGACACUUCCUUAGCAACUCAUUCAAUCUCUCCUAUGCUUCAUGUAGAAGCUCCCCCUCCUUAUGGUAAAAUUCUCUAAUGGCUGUUCUU